rnacentral:lncRNA from 1 species
CCAAGAACUGAGAAGUAGGUUCCAAGAACCGGUACCUGAAUGCUGGAUUAUCACCAUCAAAGGAAGGUGGCAGGACCAUAUCAGGUAAUGGAACUGGUACAGAAGCAGGACCACCAGUUUCCGGAUCAACAUCUUCCCCUGUGUUACCAUAUUCAUCAACGGCAGGCUUUCCUUUCUUCAGCUCUCUCAUUCUUCUCAACUCCUCCCCCCACUGCUUUUUCUGGAGGAGCUUCACCCGAUAAUCAUACUCCUCGAAAUAUGCCUUCCUUUGCUCCUUGUCAAGCUUAGCAAGUUGUGCUUUCCUUAGAGCUUUGAAUGGUGGGAGCUUAUCAUACUCAUCCUCGUCGUCUUCUUGAUCAGAAUCAGAUAAAUCAUCCACAUCAAUAUCUGAGUCACCAUUCUCACCACCCUGAUCAGCAGAGAGUUUAGGAUGGCUACGAGACUGCAACAGCCACGAUAGCAAGUAUGGAAGAGGAGGAGAUCGGACACGAAAACCAAAGAGCUUCCGAUGGUCAAAUGGAUCUUGAGGUUUGGAGAGAGAACUUGCUUCAGAUAGGACUUUGAUAGAGUAGCAUAACAACAAUAGCUGAGGUCUCCAAGUUUGACCGUUAGGAAGCACCUUGUGGCCAUCCCUAUUCUUUCGGCAUGAUGGAUGAUUUUCAACAAGACAAACAGGAUUCAUCAAACUUGGAUUCAUCAUGCGUAAAUCACCAACAGCCUGAGCAAUAGACUGCUGAACAACAUGAGAACGUUGAGCAACAAACACCUCAUAACUCAAAGGCGAGCCAGAUGGUCCAUCAGGAGGUGCAGAAGCAGCAUGAGUCAAAGCAACUACGGCAUUUUUCCAGAUAGAGGAGCCAAGAGAAUUAGUGAUUGAUCUUAACAAUGGAAGAUCAUUAAGAUCCCGGGUCUGGCUGUCCAACCGAUCAACAUAGACUACAACAUCAGGGGGACACUUCUUCAUGUAUUGCUUUAUAGAAGCUAGGACCUUGCGAUUGGCACCUUGCUCCAUGGCAGAAGAUCUCAAACCUGGGGUAUCAAUGAUCCUCAAUUUCACACCAUCUAAUGUUCCAGUAAUCUCUUUCACAACUGAAGUGGCAGGUUCAAAUGCAUGAAUUGAAGUCUUCUCCUCACCAAAGAUUGAAUUUAUUGUGGCGCUCUUGCCCACCCCAAUUUUCCCAAGCACAAGUAUGUUCAAGGAGAAGCUUAAAUCAUCUUUACCCUCUGUUUCAAGUUCCAGAGCUUUCCUCUUUGAAGAAUCAACACUAAACAGUUCACUGGUUUGCCUCCCUGCAACAAGCGCCAGUCUAUAAAGAACCUGUGCUGCAACAGAAUCUUCCGUAGAGAGUCCUAGCCUCUGAACAAGCCUCAAGAAUUUGACUCUAAUAAGUUGCAACUUUUCUAAUUUUAUUUUAUCUUCUUCAGUCAAGUUGAUGUCGGAGUCUCUCCUACUUGUUACAGCAGAAGGACUAAAUAAGUUAGGCCUGUUUGAUCGAGCUGCAGGUUUUGCAUUUUGCAGUGAGGAUCCUAAACCCACAGGACGUUCAACAGAGAAAAGCCUAGAUCCAUCUUGAGAGGUUAUAGUAAUGUUACCACCAUCAGAGCCAGCGCCGGUUGCUGCUUUCAAGAGGGCUGCCAAAGCAGCAGAAUCAAAUAACUCCUUCCCCUCCCCUUCUUCAUCUGUAUCCCCUUCUUCAUCAGAAUCAAUGACAAUCUGACCAUCAAUUGUCUGCGAAUGAUCAUGAGAAGUAUCAGCACCCGAGUGAGAACCAAUGGCAGCUCCUCGUUCUAGCUCCUUCAAGAAUUGCUCAGCAGCAUCAGCAUUCUCAAAGAACAUGCUUUCAGCCUCUCCGUCAGUAUCUGAGCCUCCAAUUUCAGCACCUUCAUUCUGAUGGUGCUCCUCUUGCAUUUCACCUUCAAAACUAUUUUGUUCAACAGACUUUGGUAAAUGAGAUUCUUCUACUGCCAUGGCUACUGAUCUUUUGCUUUCAGAAUCAGCAUCUGAAACCUCCAUUUCACGAGCUGCCAUCAUUUCAGUGGGUUGAGCAGAAUCAUCCAUGGUCUGAAUUCCAUCUAUACCCCCUCCAUCUAUUUUCUCAGUAGACGCUUGCUCCAACAUAUCUACACCUGCCUCCUCUUUGAGGUCACUUAGCUCAGAUUCGGAACCAUCUUUAGCAAGCAAACCCCCACCAGCAACAUCAGCUUUCCUCUCGGCAUUGGUUUCAGAAGUCAAGACCUCAGUAGUUUCAAUUUCAUCGGUCGCAACAGGGUCAAUAGUUUUAUCAGACACAGGAUGGACAUCCAGAACACGUUCUUCUUCAUCAUGACCAGCCUGAUUAAAGCCAUUAUCCAAGCUCACAUCCCCAUCAACCGGAACCACCUCUGUCUCCUUAAUCUCCGAUGUCUCAAUGCCUAAACCAUCACCAGUUAAAGGCGUUGCAUCAACAGCCAACUCCUCUCCACCGGAAAAUUUCGAACCAUCAUCAUCAACCACCUCACCAUCUACUGCUUCUGCAAUCACAGGAUUAACAACCUUAGCUCCACCAUCUAACACCGAAUUAUCCUCAUUCUCAACCAUCCCAAUUCUACCUUCCUCUUCACUCUCAAUUGAUAAAACAGCUUGGUCAGCUUCACCAGUAGAGCCCAUUCCCACCUUAUUAUCCUUCUCUUCUCCAUUACCAACACUAUCAAAAUCAACCUUUCGCAGCGAACCCUCACCUCUAAACUCCUCUAAACCAUUAUCACCACCCCCAAACGACUCCUCCUUCAAAAUCACAUCCGAACCAUCAGAACCAACAAAAGGGGUAUCGCUAACAUCCCCAACAGUCGGAAAUACUUCAUCAGGGUCAGCCACAAAUGGCCUCUCGGGUACUGUUUCAAACUUGCCAUCACCGUUCUCAUCAAUAUCACUAGUUCUAUUAUCAUUUUCUUUCAAAGCAUAAUCGCUUACCGAACUAGUUACAAACUUAGAAUCAUCAUCGGAAGAAGAAGAAGAGGAGGAAGAAGAAGAAGAGGAAGAAGAAGGAGAACCUGGAGUGGCAGAGAGCGGCUGAGAAGCGAUUUCUGGGGCAGAAAACUCGGUUUCCAUGAGAGAAGAGAAUUAGGGUUUUAGGAUAUGGUAAUGAAAAUUGGGUGGUAAAGAAAAAUCGGAUUGCGUAACUGGAAUUUUGUGAUGGAGAUACUAAGCUUUAAGGAAGAGGAAAAAGAUAAGGUAGAAUGGAAGCUAAGGGUUUUGCGAGUUCGUAAUUAUCAAUCUCAUCUGUUGAGAUUAAAAAAAAAAAAAGCAAUUAUAUUAUAAUUUUAUUACAUUAUAAUUAAAUUAUAUUCAUUUAUUAAUUUAAAAUAAUCUUAAGAUUUGUAAUGCAUGAAAAAUAUUUUUUUAAAUAAAAAAUAUAAAUAUCAAUACUUCAUUUUUUUAAUCUUUAUUUAUGAUAUUAUAGUGAUAGUAAAAAUUGAUAUUUUUAUAUAUGAUGUUAAUUUAAAAACUAAAUAUUUAAGUAUAUAUUUAAUUUAAAAUAUUUAACAUAAAUUCAUAUAAAUUAAUAUUAAUAUAUACCAAAUUUAUAUAUAUUAAUGUUAAAAAGUAUCGUUAUUUGUUAUUUCAUAAAUUUUGUUAACUAUCGUAAAAUUUUAAAUAAUUAAGUUAAUAGUUAAUUGAGUCUUAAUUCAAUUGGUAUAGGUGUUGUUGUUAGUGCAAAAAAAUGUAGGUUCGAGUACGUUGAACUGCAUUAUUUUCCUAUUUAAGGGUUUAAGAGAACUAUUGGUAGUUUUAAAGUAAGUAUGAUAAAAAUCUAUAAAAAAAUCUAAUUAAAUUAAUUAAUAUAUAAAUUAAUAUAGAAGAAGAAAAGAAUAUACAUAUUGUGUUUUAUAUAGUUUAUAUUAUUUUCUUUAAAAAUAGUAUUAUCAUAUAUUAAGCGUAAAUACUAUAUGUCAAUAAUGACAGUAGAAAUUAUCGUAAUGCAAUAAGAAACAAAAAUAAGAACACAAAGAUUUACUAAUUUACUAAUUAGACCAACAAUAAUAAGAAAUUUUCUAUUAGAAAGAAUAAUAAAAUAAAAUAAAAAUAUUAAACAAUCAAUUUUUAAAAAUUAAUUCACUAAUUUUCAUCUUAAGCUUGAUAUUUUGCUUUUUCACUUGUAUCAUCCACUUGUUUGUUGUAUCUAUAAUUUCAUAUAUUUUUUAAUGUUUUAACAUUUCGAUAUUUUCACAAAAUUUUCUUGAUAUUUUGUAUUGCCGAUUAUAUAUGUUGGGGUUCGAUUUGUAUGAGCAACGAAUAAGUAAAAUAAAGCAGAUCAAACAUACAAGUAUUUUACGUAAAAAAACUACUCCGAAGAGGAUAAAAAUCACGGCAAAGGAGGUUUCAGCUUUUCAUUAAAUAUGUAAACAAACAAGAGUACAAUAUGGAGAAAAUAAACCUAAAUUUACUAAACGUACAUUACUCAAAACUCUGAAUAUAAGGUAAUAACUCUCAUAGAGCAAACCCGAAAAUAAAACCCUAAUUCUCGUAGAGUUAUCUCAGAAGAAGUACAAAAUUAUAUUUAUAGUUACCGCGAAAACUCUCACCACAUCACCAUGUCUCAAUGUACCUAUUCGCGCCAUCCGUUGUCACAACGUCAGGGAGCUUCUCAUCAUUACCUCACUGUCUGCUCGACCGAAAAUACGACACCCCACAUAUUGGAAGAAAACUUAAAAAAAAGUUAUUAAAAAAGAUGGUGAAAAAAAUAUAUGAAUUAAAAAUUUUCAAAAAUUAUAAAAGUUUAAUGAUACUAUAAUAUUAAAUUUAUUUUAUUGAAAAAUUAGUUUCAAAUUGAAAAAAAAAAACCUUUCAUUUUGUUUUAGGAAAACAUUUUCUUGGAAAAUUAGAAAACAAACUAAGAAAAAAUGAUUUUGUUGAAAAUUCUAAAAACAAUUUUUGAAAAAAAAUUGUGAAAAUUUUAAAAAAAUUAUUUUUAUUCUUUUCACUAAAAAUGUUUUUUACAAAAUUGGAAACAAGUGUUUUAAACUUUAAAAUUAAUGGAUGAAUUGACCUUAGAUUAAAUCCAUUUAAAGGAGAAAUUUUAUUAUUUUAAACCAUUUUUAAAUAAAAAUCUCUUAUCUAAAUUUUUAUUUUAUUUUUUAUUUUUCUAUUAUAAAAAGAUGGACACUAAACAUAUUUUUUAUUUUUUAAUCCAAAUAAUUAACGCUGUUCACUUUUCUAUUAAAAUAUUACAUGAUUAUAUAUAACUUAAAUGCCCCAAAGGUCUCAGAGGCUGACACGUGACUUCUUAUUUCUUUUGGAUUUGCCUUUAUUAGCAUUUUAUGUCAUGCUAAAACUUGAUAUUUAAUCUAUAUACUUUAAUUUAUAACAUAAUUUAAUUUGGUUCAUUUACUUUUACAAUGUCAUUAGUUAGUUUAAAUAAUUAAUAUUGUUAAAUAUUUCAAUCAAAUGCUGUCAAUUUUUUUUUUAAAUUACUAUUCUAGCAAAAAAUAUUUUAUCAUCACAAGCUUAAACAAGUAUUUUUAAGAAAAAAAUCCGCACCAAUAAAAUUGGAUUUAAUGUAACAGUUAUCCUAGAUGACAUCAAAGUGGUGCUCCCUGUGGCACUGGAUUUUCAACCAGAGGCGAACCCAAGGGGGGUUGGCAGGGGCCCGACCCCCUUAAAAUAGAAAAUUAUUGUUUUGGCCCGUUAAAAAAUUUUAAAUUAGUGAAGAUAAAAUUACACUUUGCCCCCCUAAAAUUAUGAAAAUUUAAUUUAAUCUUUUAAAAAUUAUAAAGAUAUAGACAAUUAAAAAUUAAAAUUUCAUUUCGGCCCUCCUAAAGAGAAUUUCUAGCUUCGUCCUUGUGUCUAAUCGUGGGAUAUAACAAAAACUAUAAUUAAAUAUAUAUAUUUUUAAAAAAACUAGCAAUUUUAAGCAAGACCUUUUAAGAUUGGGUUAAUAUAAUUUUUAGUCCCUGAAUAUAGUAAUUAAAUCCACUUCAGAAAUCGCACUUUUUUUUGUUCACUUUAGUACUUGAACUUAACAACUAGGUUUAUUUUAGUCAUUUAACUUAGAUUCAAUCACAAUUUGAUGAUAUGGUACAAUUUCAAAAUAUCACUCAUCAAGUUUUUUACAUUUACUAAAUUUAAUCAAAAUAAAUCUAAUUACCAAAUUUAGAUACGGGAAGUAAAAAUACAAAAAUAAAUUUAAUUCGUAUUUUGUUGGUUUGCCUUUGAAGGAUAACAUUAAGGAUUAGGCUUCUGUAUAACUUUGUUUGGUUUGGUAUUUUAUUUUAUCUUUAUUUUAUUUGGGCUUAUUUUGACCUUAUAUGUGUUUUGUUGUUUGGUUAGGCAUAUUUGACUUCUAUUGGAUAUAUGUAUAUGUUUUUAUUAAUGUUUUUAAAAUCAGAUUGAUAGGCAAAUUAGUUACGCUAGAAGUUUAUUAAUCCGAUUAGUUUAAUAAAAGAAAUAUUAAAAGAAUUGGUUCAAUAUCGGUCGAUCCUUUUUUAGUCAAUUAGUUUAACCAGUUCGUGAAUUUUAUCGCAUCAGUUCAAAGUCUUUCUCCAAAUCAGUUCUUCGACCGAUUGUCAUUCCAAUCAAUUCAACCGUCUAAUUCGAUUUGAUUCAAACAAUCUUAAACCCAUUUAAGUUCAUCCAUAUUAAAAAUUUAAAAUAUUAUUUAUAUAUUUAAUAAUUUUAUAUAUUUUUAAUUAAAAAUUUAAACAUAAAUAAUUUUCACAUAUAUAUAUUUAUAUAUUUAUAUAUUCAAUUUUCAUACUAUAAAUAUAAAAGAAAAGAAAAUUAACAUAUUAUAAACUAAAAAAAAAUGAGCCAAACCUUUGAAUAUUGAAGCUUAAGUGUGACAUUUUUUAAAAAUGAGUUUAAUACUUUUAUAUAAAUUUAGCUUAAAUUUAACUCUUUUUCUUAUUCAAAUCUUCUCAAAAAUAGAUUUAUAAUGAAUUUAAAUGUUAUACACAAUUACUAUAAAAUAAAUAAAAGAGAAAACUUGGUAAAAGUAUCAUGUACUAUUAAAAAUUUAGGUGAAUUAGUCCUUGUAAGUUAGAUUCAAGAGCAAAUUGAUCCUUUUGUAGAAAAUUUUAUCCAUUUUUACUAUUAAAAAUUGGUCACUAUAAGUCAGUAUGAUGUACAUGUGAUAUGCCACGUAUAAUUGUCGGUUAUUUACAGUAAAAAUAGAUUAAUUUACUCUUUUUCUAAAUAAAAAAAAACAGAUAAAAUACAAUCUUUCCAAUACAAAAAUGGAAAUGAUAUUUUUACCGAAAAUACUAUAAUAAAACCUCGUUGUAGGGACGACAUGAUUUUCCCUUCAAGUUGCUACCAUCAUCUAACAUAAAACAAACACAAGAGUUUAAAGAGUGAUAUUUGGGAUUGGUCGGCCACAUUGCUUUAAUCAGUAAUGAUAUAAGAUUUAACAAAACUUUGUCUUACCAAAAUAAACUAUAAAACUAUAUCUAAAUAAUAUUAAUUAAAUAUAAAUUAUUAUUAUUAGUGUAAUUAUUAUGAAUUUUGUGUUUGACAUAUUACAUUCUCAUGAAAAAAAAAUAUUUAACUCAGUUUUAUUUUGUGAAAAUACUUAUUAAUUGAAUGUUGGCUUCAUAAAAUUUUUAAUAAAUAUUAAAUUUAUUUUUGAUAUUUCAAAUAACAAUUCUAUUUAUUAAGUUAUUAUAGAGUGAAUGAAGAAAAUUAAAUUCUCAAAGGUUAAGGGAUAGGAUAGUAUAAUUUUUGACUCGAGAAGAUUUAAUCGGUGAUACUUCCCCCUCCAUUUGUUUAUUGGUUUUGAUAAUAUAAAUUUUAACUUUUUAUUUAUUAUCAGAAAAUUCAUUUAACUUAACCAAAUGUGACAAGUCUUAUAACUAAUAAAAAUAUUUAAAAUUGUAAAACUAAUAAAAAAAUAAACAAGUGGUUUUAAUUAGUAUAUAAAAAUUAAUACUUCAAUAAAUAAAGUAGUUCAAUACAGUAUUUAAUCUUUUUAUCAAAUAAAAUUAUUUAAUAAAAAAUUAACAAAUAUUUAUAUUUGUGAUAAGUAUCUAAUAAAUUCAUUUAAUAAAAAAAUUUAAUAGCUUAUAAAUCCGAUGAAAAUAUUUAAAAUGAUAAAAUUAGUAAUAUAAUAAAGAAUGAAAAGUACUCUAAUUAAUUUAUAUAUCUAAAACUCAUUUUCUUUGCCUAACCCUCCCCAGCCCUCAAAGCAUACAAAACAGAGCAAAACAACCAAAUACCCUAUUACCAAUCAAAACAUCAUACAUUUGCAGCCCUCGAAGACUAGAUAUAUAUUUUUAAGGUCCCUCUGAGAUUAUAUAUUAAUAUUAUACAUUAGUCUCUAUGACCUUUUUCAUUUCACCACACAAUCUAAAUUUCUAACUCUGCCCCUACAAUCUAGCUCCGCCAGACUCCAACUCUUAUACUGUUCAAGAGGAACUUAUACUAUUUAAAAACAAAAAUAUCAUACAUGAACUAUAAGUUCUUUUUAAAACAAAACCAACCAGUUAUCAUCAAUCCUGCGUACCAUUCUAGUAGAGGAUAUGUAAAAAUAACAGAUCCUCAAAAAGUAACAUUAUAUCAAAAGGCUGCAAAGAUCUGUACAUGUAAAUUCCUCUGCUAACAGGCAAAAUGUUCAUAUUUAUAAAAAGCUUACCAUUAACCAAAACCGCUAAACAAACAAGCAAAAAGUUACCAUGCUUAGUAACAUUUAUUAGGAAAUAAAAAUGGAUACCUCAUCAAAGCAGUACUUCACGCACAAAAAUAGCCUACAACAUAUUAAUCAAGGAAUGUAGCUAAUAAACUAAUACAUUGAGUAGUUGUCACUAACCCUGGGCUUGAUGCUUUUGUAAAUUGCCAUGACAACAGGAAGGAGACCAGUGAGUGCAAUCUGGAGUUGAUCCGAGCUGCUUGUUCGAACAGUUAUCUGUCCACUCAUCUUGUUGUUCAGUCCUGCACGAACUGCUACUUUUGAACUCCUUCCAACAGAUAACUGAGUCUGAAAAUUGGCUCCCAGUGCCAAGUCCCCUCUCCAUUUGACUAGAGACAAACCCAAAGUGGAUUGAUCCUGGUCGAUUGGAAAAUCUGCACCUCGGAGCCGCAUUUCUAGAUUGGCUCCAUAUGCUGAAUCACCUUUAGAUCUAACAGUCCCAGUGCUACCAACUAAAACCAGUCGCUUUCCAACAACAAUAUGAUCCUCAAGUUUGAGUCCAGUUGCAACAUUCUCACCUAGAAAUGUAACAGAGAAGCCAGCAGCUGUUUUGUUCUUUUUGAGAUUUUUGAAUUUGGUCUCCCCUCUGAAAAUGUAAGCUAACUGCUUUCCAACAUUUUGGAUGUCAAAACCAGCCAUGGUUGAUCCAUUUUCACCAUGCUUGGUAGAAACUGAAGAGUCCAAAUGGAUGUUAAACUCUUUCUUAUCCUUGGUGAGUUGAACGGAAACUGUAGCAGGAAACUGGUUGGCGAUUGCUAGACUAUGUUCAACAUUAACACCAUCAUAGCCACAAUCAUGGUCCCAACCGUGAGUGUCCAAUACUGGCCUCGCCAAGAACUGAGAAGUUGGUUCCAAAAAUCGGUACCUGUAUGCUGGAUUAUCAGCAUCAAAGGAAGGUGGCAAGACCAUAUCAGGUAAUGGAACUGGUACAGCGGCUGGACCACCAGUUUCCUGAUCAACAUCUUCCCCUGUGUUACCAUAUUCAUCAACGGCUGGCUUUCUUUUCUUCAGCUCUCUCAUUCUUCUCAACUCCUCCCUCCACUGCUUUUUCUGGAGGAGCUUCACCCGAUAAUCAUACUCCUCAAAAUAUGCCUUCCUUUGCUC